UUGGGAAGUAAAAAGUCGUAACAAGGUUUCCGUAGGUGAACCUGCGGAAGGAUCAUUAAAGAGUAAGGGUGCUCAGCGCCCGACCUCCAACCCUUUGUUGUUAAAACUACCUUGUUGCUUUGGCGGGACCGCUCGGUCUCGAGCCGCUGGGGAUUCGUCCCAGGCGAGCGCCCGCCAGAGUUAAACCAAACUCUUGUUAUUAAACCGGUCGUCUGAGUUAAAAUUUUGAAUAAAUCAAAACUUUCAACAACGGAUCUCUUGGUUCUCGCAUCGAUGAAGAACGCAGCGAAAUGCGAUAAGUAAUGUGAAUUGCAGAAUUCAGUGAAUCAUCGAAUCUUUGAACGCACAUUGCGCCCCUUGGUAUUCCGAGGGGCAUGCCUGUUCGAGCGUCAUUACACCACUCAAGCUAUGCUUGGUAUUGGGUGCCGUCCUUAGUUGGGCGCGCCUUAAAGACCUCGGCGAGGCCUCACCGGCUUUAGGCGUAGUAGAAUUUAUUCGAACGUCUGUCAAAGGAGAGGACUUCUGCCGACUGAAACCUUUUAUUUUUCUAGGUUGACCUCGGAUCAGGUAGGGAUACCCGCUGAACUUAAGCAUAUCAAUAAGCGGAGGAA
rnacentral:rRNA from 1 species